GACGAACGCUGGCGGCGUGCUUAACACAUGCAAGUCAAACGGAAAGGCCCUGCUUUUGUGGGGUGCUCGAGUGGCGAACGGGUGAGUAACACGUGAGUAACCUGCCCUUGACUUUGGGAUAACUUCAGGAAACUGGGGCUAAUACCGGAUAGGAGCUCCUGCUGCAUGGUGGGGGUUGGAAAGUUUCGGCGGUUGGGGAUGGACUCGCGGCUUAUCAGCUUGUUGGUGGGGUAGUGGCUUACCAAGGCUUUGACGGGUAGCCGGCCUGAGAGGGUGACCGGCCACAUUGGGACUGAGAUACGGCCCAGACUCCUACGGGAGGCAGCAGUGGGGAAUAUUGCACAAUGGGCGGAAGCCUGAUGCGGCAACGCCGCGUGCGGGAUGACGGCCUUCGGGUUGUAAACCGCUUUCGCCUGUGACGAAGCGUGAGUGACGGUAAUGGGUAAAGAAGCACCGGCUAACUACGUG
rnacentral:rRNA from 1 species